rnacentral:tRNA from 1 species
GCCCCCGUAGCUCAGCCGGAUAGAGCGACGGUUUCCUAAACCGCAGGCCGUGAGUUCGAAUCUCGCCGGGGGCACCA